rnacentral:tRNA from 1 species
UUUAGAUAGAAGUUCGCUGGUUUAAACACUUAGCUGUUAACUAAGAUUUUGUGGGAUCGAGGCCUGCCUGUCUAG